rnacentral:rRNA from 1 species
GGUUAAAAAGCUCGUAGCUGGAUUUCUGUUGAGGGCGACCGGUGUACACCUCGUGUAUUAUUUGGUUCGGUCUCGGCAUCCUCUUGGGGAACGUUUCUGGACUUUAUUGGACAGGGCGAGAUUCAAGACUUUUACUUUGAGGAAAUUAGAGUGUUCACGGCAGGCAAGCGCUUUGAAUACAUUAGCAUGGAAUAAUGAUAUAGGACCUUUGUUCUAUUUUGUUGGUUUCUAGAACUAAGGUAAUGAUUAAUAGGGACAAUUGGGGGCAUUCGUAUUAACGCGUCAGAGGUGGAAUUCUUGGAUUGCGUUACGACGAACUACUGCGAAAGCAUUUGCCAAGGAUGUUUUCAUUGAUCAAGAACGAAAGUAUGGGGAUCGAAGACGAUUAGAUACCGUCGUAGUCUAUACCAUAAACUAUGCCAACUAGGGAUUGGAGGUCGUUCUUUUCAUGACUCCUUCAGCACCUUAUGAGAAAUCAAAGUUUUUGGGUUCCGGGGGGAGUAUGGUCGCAAGGCUGAAACUUAAAGGAAUUGACGGAAGGGCACCACCAGGAGUGGAGCCUGCGGCUUAAUUUGACUCAACACGGGAAAACUUACCAGGUCCAGAC